rnacentral:rRNA from 1 species
AUUGAACGCUGGCGGCAGGCUUAACACAUGCAAGUCGAGCGGAGUGAUGGUGCUUGCACUAUCACUUAGCGGCGGACGGGUGAGUAAUGCUGAGGAAUCUGCCAUUUAGUGGGGGACCACAUUCCGAAAGGAAUGCUAAUACCGCAUACGUCCUACGGGAGAAAGCAGGGGAUCUUCGGACCUUGCGCUAAAUGAUGAGCCUAGGUCGGAUUAGCUAGUUGGUGGGGUAAAGGCCUACCAAGGCGACGAUCUGUAGCGGGUCUGAGAGGAUGAUCCGCCACACUGGGACUGAGACACGGCCCAGACUCCUACGGGAGGCAGCAGUGGGGAAUAUUGGACAAUGGGCGGAAGCCUGAUCCAGCCAUGCCGCGUGUGUGAAGAAGGCCUUUUGGUUGUAAAGCACUUUAAGCGAGGAGGAGGCUACUAGUACUAAUACUACUGGAUAGUGGACGUUACUCGCAGAAUAAGCACCGGCUAACUCUGUGCCAGCCGCCGCAGUAACAC